GACGAACGCUGGCGGCGUGCUUAACACAUGCAAGUCGAACGGAAAGGCCCUGCUUUUGUGGGGUUCUCGAGUGGCGAACGGGUGAGUAACACGUGAGUAACCUGCCCUUGACUUUGGGAUAACUUCAGGAAACUGGGGCUAAUACCGGAUAGGAUCUCCUGCUGCAUGGUGGGGGUUGGAAAGUUUCGGCGGUUGGGGAUGGACUCGCGGCUUAUCAGCUUGUUGGUGGGGUAGUGGCUUACCAAGGCUUUGACGGGUAGCCGGCCUGUGAGGGUGACCGGCAACAAUGGGACUGAGAUACGGCCCAGACUCCUACGGGAGGCAGCAGUGGGGAAUAUUGCACAAUGGGCGGAAGCCUGAUGCAGCAACGCGGCGUGCGGGAUGACGGCCUUCGGGUUGUAAACCGCUUUCGCCUGUGACGAAGAGUGAGUGACGGUAAUGGGUAAAGAAGCACCGGCUAACUACGUG
rnacentral:rRNA from 1 species